rnacentral:tRNA from 1 species
GCCUGCGUGGCUCAGUUGGUUAAGUGUCUGACUUCAGCUCAGGUCAUGAGUUUGUGGGUUCAAACCCCACGUCAAGCU